UCCGUAGGUGAACCUGCGGAAGGAUCAUUGAAUUAUCAAUACCACAAUGUGAACUUUUUGUCCGUGGGCCUGUGCCUUUGGCUUCGGCCAAGGUUGUGGCGGAUUACGGGAUAGGCUUUCUGCCGACUCCCUAUGAUUUCCGCCCGCGCAGGCAAGCAUGUUUCCCACGCUUAUUGCGAAAACCUUAAUCUGAGACAAAAAAUUGCCAUGCAUUUGGCAAUACAAACCAAGACAACUCUCAACAACGGAUAUCUUGGCUCUCGCAACGAUGAAGAACGCAGCGAAAUGCGAUACGUAGUGUGAAUUGCAGAAUUCCGUGAACCAUCGAAUCUUUGAACGCAUAUUGCACUCGCGGCCUCGGCCAAGAGUAUGUCUGCCUCAGCGUCGGUUUGAACCCUCACCCACCAAUGUGGUUGUACCAAUUGCAUUGGAGUGUGACUGGCUACGGCUGGUUGCCAUGGGUGGAUCUGACUUUCCCAUUGCUUGCCAAUGGGUCUGUUGAAGUUUAGUGGCAUUUCAAGGUCCCUAAUUACGGGCACAACUGGAUAACGUGGUUUAUACUGCGCGAAAGUUUGUUGUCUUGUGGCUUUUGAGACCCCUGCCAUCAAGGAAACGAUCAAUCAUUCGACCUGAGCUCAGGCAAGAUUACCCGCUGAACUUAAGCCUAUCAAUAACGGAGGA
rnacentral:rRNA from 1 species